rnacentral:rRNA from 1 species
AGUGAACGCUGGCGGUAGGCCUAACACAUGCAAGUCGAACGGCAGCACAGUAAGAGCUUGCUCUUACGGGUGGCGAGUGGCGGACGGGUGAGGAAUACAUCGGAAUCUACUUUUUCGUGGGGGAUAACGUAGGGAAACUUACGCUAAUACCGAAUAUGACCUACGGGUGAAAGCAGGGGAUCUUCGGACCUUGCGCGAUUGAAAGAGCCGAUGUCGGAUUAGCUAGUUGGCGGGGUAAAGGCCCACCAAGGCAACGAUCCGUAGCUGGUCUGAGAGGAUGAUCAGCCACACUGGAACUGAGACACGGUCCAGACUCCUACGGGAGGCAGCAGUAGGGAAUCUUGGACAAUGGGCGCAAGCCUGAUCCAGCCAUGCCGCGUGGGUGAAGAAGGCCUUCGGGUUGUAAAGCUCUUUUGUUGGGAAAGAAAAGCAGCAGGUUAAUACCCCGCUGUUCUGACGGUACCCAAAGAAUAAGCACCGGCUAACUUCGUG